GACGAACGCUGGCGGCGUGCUUAACACAUGCAAGUCGAACGGAAAGGCCCUGCUUUUGUGGGGUGCUCGAGUUGCGAACGGGUGAGUAACACGUGAGUAACCUGCCAUUGCCUUCGGGAUAACUUCAGGAAACUGGGGCUAAUACGGGAAAGGAGCUCCUGCUGUUUGGUGGGGGUUGGAAAGUUUCGGCGGUUGGGGAUGGACUCGCGGCUUAUCAGCUUGUUGGUGGGGUAGUGGGUUACCAAGGCUUUGACCGGUAGCCGGCCUGAGAGGGUGACCGGCCACAUUGGGACUGAGAUACGGCCCGGACUCCUACGGGAGGCAGCAGUGGGGAAUAUUGCACUGUGGGCGGAAGCCUGAUGCGGCAACGCCGCGUCCGGGAUGACAGCCUUCGGGUUGUAUACCGCUUUCGCCUGUGACGGAGCGUGAGUGACGGUAAUGGGUGAAGAAGCACCGGCUAACUACGUG
rnacentral:rRNA from 1 species